rnacentral:SRP_RNA from 1 species
GCUGGGCAUGGGGGCGCAUGCCUGUAAUCCAGCUACUUGGGAGGCUGAGGCAGGAGAAUCACUUGAACCCAGGAGGUGGAGGUUGCAGUGAGCUGAGAUCGCACCACUGUACUCCACCCUGGGCGACAGAGUGAGACUCUGUCUCAA